UUGUCAUGUAGAGGAAACCUGAAAUCAAAAAAAGAAAACAACCUAUGCAUGAAGUGCUACAAAAGCAAGACAACCAUCUCUAUCACGAGAGCAUCUUUAUGACUACUACUAAUCAUUUCUGCAGGUACAUCUUUAAGAAAUUUUCCAGAGCAAAUUUUCUGCACAGCGUAGUGUCUUAACAAUGGCUUGACUGAUGACAGCUUAGCACCCAGAGUUUAAUUAACUUGCAGGUCAUCCAGUUACAAAGUGGUGGAGCCGGGAUUAGAUUGAACCUGUAAAUCUGGUUGGAGCCUGGAAUCUUAAAGAUUACACCGUAUUACUUCCCUGUUCUUCUGAAUAAAAGUAAGUACCGUGGUUUCCUGGAAAUAUUGGCGGCACUGGUA